AUUGAACGCUGGCGGCAUGCUUUACACAUGCAAGUCGGACGAGUGGCGAACGGGUGAGUAACGCAUCGGAACGUACCGAGUACUGGGGGAUAACUGUCCGAACGGACAGCUAAUACCGCAUAUUAUUCGAGCGGCCGAUGUCUGAUUAGCUGGUGGGCGGGGUAAAGGCCCACCAAGGCGACGAUCAGUAGCGGGUCUGAGAGGAUGAUCCGCCAAACUGGGACUGAGACACGGCCCAGCAGCCUACGGGAGGCAGCAGUGGGGAAUUGUGGACAAUGGGCGCAAGCUUGAUCCAGCCAGGCCGCGUGUCUGAAGAAGGCCUUCGGGUUGUAAAGGACUGUAAGUUGGGAGGCGUUACCAACAGAAUAAGCACCGGCUAACUUCGUGCCAGCAGCCGCGGUAAUAC
rnacentral:rRNA from 1 species